AGAGAGAGACAUGCGCGCAUAUCAAUAAGCGGAGGAAAAGAAACUAACAAGGAUUCCCUUAGUAACGGCGAGUGAAGCGGGAAGAGCUCAAAUUUGAAAUCUUCAAGGUUCUACCUUGACGAAUUGUAGUUUAAAGAAGUGUUUUCUGUUAGUGGAGUGGCAAAAGUUCUCUGGAAUAGGACAUCAUAGAGGGUGAGAAUCCCGUAUUUGGUCAUUCCUUCUAGCUUUGUGAUACACUUUCAAAGAGUCGGAUUGUUUGGGAAUGCAGUCCAAAAUGGGUGGUAAAUUUCAUCUAAAGCUAAAUAUUGGCGAGAGACCGAUAGCGAACAAGUACCGUGAGGGAAAGAUGAAAAGAACUUUGAAAAGAGAGUUAAACAGUACGUGAAAUUGUCAAAAGGGAAGCGUUUGACACCAGUGUUGUUUUUCCGAAAAUCAAUUACGAAUGUUUUAUUUUUGAGGAGUUAUGACUUCAUCGGCUUGCUCCUUUCUUUACUGGAAACUUUCUUAAUGCACUUUUCGGUUAACAAGUCAACAUCAAUUUCUUUUGUUGUAAAAGAGUCAUUGAGGAAGGUGGCUUUCUCUUCGGAGAAAGUGUUUAUAGCCUUUGUCCUCUGCAAUCGGAGAGAUUGAGGUCUGCAGCGUAGAUCCUUCGGGGUUAGAUACAUUUGUGCUAAGUUAUAGCCUUUCAUAGACAACUUGUUGACUAUGAUCAGUCAUGUAGCUUACUCGCUUAUGCUAUUUUACCUACGCUUAGGAUGUUGACAGCAGUAUAGACUGU
rnacentral:rRNA from 1 species